GCAUUGAUGGUGUAGCGGUAACAUGCGGUCUUCCCAAGCGGUGUGGCCGCGCUCCGAGUUCGACUCUCGGUCAAUGCA